rnacentral:rRNA from 1 species
AUGAAGUGUAACAGAUCUGGUAAACCUAGGAUAAGGACAAAACCAACAGCUACAGGAGCAAAAAGGAGAAAGUAUAAGACUGAUAAGUAUGCACCAACUGAGCUAGAGAAUAUGACAGACAGAAGAAGAAACUACACAAUUAAAACAGACUGUCAAGCUCAGAUGGUUGUUAUCUGGAAAUUUGAUAUAGCACAGUGGGUGGUGACAAGGCUUAUCAUUGAGCACAGCCAUGAUCUGCACCCACCAGGGGAAGUCAGGUUCCUUAGGUCACACAAAUAUAUCACUGAGCAAGAGAAGGACCUAAUUAGAACUUGCAAACGAGUGAACAUACCAACUAGAAAUAUAUUGGCAAUAAUGGCGUUCUUUCGAGGAAGAGGGCUUUCUUCGUUGCCAUAUAUAGCAAAAUAG